UUCGCAAUGCCCGAAAGGGUGACGAAGCGACGCCGCGUGGGUGAGGAAGGCCUUCGGGUUGUAAAGCCCUGUCAGGAGUUAAGAAAUAUAAGUGCGCUAAUAUCGCAUUUAUUUGACGAAGGCUCCAAAGGAAGCCACGGCUAACUCUGUGCCAGCAGCCGCGGUAAUACAGAGGUGGCAAGCGUUGUUCGGAAUUAUUGGGCGUAAAGAGCACGUAGGUGGGUUUGUAAGUCAGAUGUGAAAGCCUUCUGUUCAACGGAAGAAUUGCAUCUGAAACUACAAGUCUUGAGUGUAGGAGGGGAGAAUGGAACUUCUGGUGGAGCGGUGAAAUGCGUAGAUAUCAGAAGGAACGCCGGCGGCGAAAGCGAUUCUCUGGCCUAUUACUGACACUCAGUGUGCGAAAGCCAGGGGAGCAAACGGGAUUAGAUACCCCGGUAGUCCUAGCUGUAAACGAUGGGCACUAAGUAGAGGGGUUUU
rnacentral:rRNA from 1 species